rnacentral:rRNA from 1 species
GUGGGGAAUUUUGGACAAUGGGCUCAAGCCUGAUCCAGCAAUGCCGCGUGCAGGAAGAAGGCCUUCGGGUUGUAAACUGCUUUUGUACGGAACGAAACGGUCCUGGUUAAUACCUGGGGCUAAUGACGGUACCGUAAGAAUAAGCACCGGCUAACUACGUGCCAGCAGCCGCGGUAAUACGUAGGGUGCGAGCGUUAAUCGGAAUUACUGGGCGUAAAGCGUGCGCAGGCGGUGCUGUAAGACAGGCGUGAAAUCCCCGGGCUCAACCUGGGAAUUGCGCUUGUGACUGCAGUGCUGGAGUACGGCAGAGGGGGAUGGAAUUCCGCGUGUAGCAGUGAAAUGCGUAGAUAUGCGGAGGAACACCGAUGGCGAAGGCAGUCCCCUGGGCCUGUACUGACGCUCAUGCACGAAAGCGUGGGGAGCAAACAGGAUUAGAAACCCUGGUAGUCC